UACGAAGGUCCCAAGCGUUAUCCGGAUUUAUUGGGUUUAAAGGGUGCGUAGGCGGGCUAUUAAGUCAGUGGUGAAAUCUCCGAGCCUAACUCGGAAAUUGCCAUUGAUACUGAUGGUCUUGAGUACAUUUGAAGUGGGCGGAAUGUGUCAUGUAGCGGUGAAAUGCUUAGAUAUCAGGAGGAACACCUGUGGUGUAGACAGCUUACUGGACCAUAACUGACGCUGAGGCACGAAAGCGUGGGUAGCAAACAGG
rnacentral:rRNA from 1 species